CUGGUCAUUUAGAGNANGAAANGUCGUANCAAGGUUUCCGUAGGUGAACCUGCGGAAGGAUCAUUAUUGAAUUAUGUUUUCUAGAUGGGUGUAGCUGGCUCUUCGGAGUAUGUGCACGCCUGUCUGGACUUCAUUUUCAUCCACCUGUGCACCUUUUGUAGUCUUUUUCAGGUAUUGGAGGAAGUGGUCAGCCUAUCAGCUCUUUGCUGGAUGUAAGGACUUGCAGUGUGAAAACAGUGCUGUCCUUUACCUUGGCCAUGGAAUCUUUUUCCUGUUAGAGUCUAUGUUAUUCAUUAUACUCUUAGAAUGUCAUUGAAUGUCUUUACAUGGGCUAUGCCUAUGAAAAUUAUUAUACAACUUUCAGCAACGGAUCUCUUGGCUCUCGCAUCGAUGAAGAACGCAGCGAAAUGCGAUAAGUAAUGUGAAUUGCAGAAUUCAGUGAAUCAUCGAAUCUUUGAACGCAUCUUGCGCUCCUUGGUAUUCCGAGGAGCAUGCCUGUUUGAGUGUCAUUAUAUUCUCAACUCUCCAAUACUUUGUUGUAAAGGAGAGCUUGGAUUGUGGAGGUUUGCUGGCCCCUUACUUGGGGUCAGCUCCUCUGAAAUGCAUUAGCGGAACCGUCUGCGAUCUGCCACAAGUGUGAUAACUUAUCUACACUGGCGAGGGGAUUGCUUUCUGAUGUUCAGNAACUAAUCGUCUAAGGACAAUUUCUUGAAUGCUUGACCUCAAAUCAGGUAGGA
rnacentral:rRNA from 1 species